CUCCUCCGGGGGUCGCACUGGGAAUGUUCCACAAUCGACGAAAGUAUGAUGGAGCAACGCCGCGUGAGUGAAGAAGGGGUUUGGCUCGUAAAACUCUGUUGUUAAAGAAGCACAUAUCUGAGAGUAACUGUUCAUGUAUUGUCGGUAUUUAACCAGAAAGCCACGGCUAACUACGUGCCAGCAGCCGCGGUAAUAAGUAGGUGGCGAGCGUUGUCUUUGAUUUAUUGGGCGUAAAGAGAGCGCAGGCGGUUUUUUUAGUAUUAUGUGAAAGCCUUCGUCUCAACAGAAGAAGUGCAUCGGAAAGUGGGAGACUUGAGUGCAGAAGAGGAGCAGUGGAACUCCAUGUGUAGCGGUGAAAUGAGUAGAUAUAUGGAAGAACACCAGUGGCGAGGGCGGCUGUGUGGUCUGUAACUGACGCUGAGGCUCGAAAGUAGUGGGUAGCAAACAGGAUUAUAUACCCUGGUAGUCCAUACACGUAAAAAAAGAGUGCUAAGUGGGGAGGGUUCCGCCCCUCAGUGCUGCAGAUAAACAACAUUAACCUUCCUCUUGGG
rnacentral:rRNA from 1 species